GGGUACCUAGUGACAGCACUAGGAUCCCGCUUCCUCUAUCAAGGAAUAAACAAUUGAAAUUGAAAAUUGAACUGCACAGGCUAGCUAGUGCAGCACUCAUACUGUAUUCCUGUCAGAAGUAGUGCUUGGCAGAGAUGCCAGGUACGAUGCUGUUACCAGCUUUGGACUUCUGACCCCAGGACUCGGCUGAAUAUGCUGUAAAUGUUGUUCCUCUUUAAUGGUCGUUAAUUAUGCCUGCACAUCUCUUCAUUUCCGAUUUAAUGGAAUAUUUCUGCUGGUUACCGUCAUUUAAUUUGGUUUAUUUUAGGCAUGAUAAAGGAUUAAUGUGUGGCUGUGCAUUAUUGCAUUUAUAAUGUGCUUGGUGGGAUUUUUUGGGUGGAGGCCAUAUGUGUUUUCAUAAUGGAGUUUUGUUUUCUAUGUAUGAUGAUAUUUAACCUUUCAGGAGCAAAAUAAGGAACAUGUGCUGGAGGUGUGUGUCAUCUCUGGUGCUUGGUGGCUCAAGCUAUGCGAGCAGGCUGCAUAGUUAAUUGUUUUUGCUGUGUAUUCAUACACCAGGCCACGUGAAAGAGUUCUCUCUGUCUGCUUUGAUCUGUUGCGUUGUGUGGUAGUGUCAAUACUGUGUCAAAAUGUUUUUUGUAAUGCCUCCUACUCAUUCACACAUUUUAUACACACACAAUCACAAAGUUUAGCAAUUAUUAAAAUAUUUGUGUCGGUGUGUCUUUAUAGUAAGUGAAUUUUUUACACCCAUGGUGAAUCAAUAACUGAGCAAGAAUUAUAGUACAGUACUCUAUUUUGACCUUAACAUGCAGAGGUCAGCUUAUCUUGUGUUUUUUCACAGGAAGAUUACUAAAAGAUGUGGCAUCAUAUGGUAUAAACGAUAUAUUUGCUAUUUUUUACAGUAUAAUCACAGUCAAGAGAUGUAAGCCUGGAUUUGUGCACCAUGCAGUGAGUGGUGAUAUAGAUGGCGCGGGUGGCAGCAUCACUCCGCUAGUUGCUCCUCCCGGUAAACAACGCCCUGGUCACUCAGGUCGACGCCAUUUUGGUUGCACGGAAGUUAAUUGUCAAGAGCCUCAAGCGUCCCGUGAACUUAUACAGGAUACAAUAUAUUCUGGUGAUACAGCCCCGUGAAUGUAUACAGGAUACAAUAUAUUCUGGUGAUACAGCCCCGUGAAUGUAUACAGGAUACAAUAUAUUCUGGUGAUACAGCAGGGAGGUUUUAAUCUUUCUGACUCGCCCAUGAUGUACAGCAACAGUAGAACAGGAGCUGCUGUGCACCGGCCUAUUGCACAAUGAAGUUUCAAGGACCAACAACACAUCUCGGUAUGACAAGCUAAGACUCAACUAAACAAACUGAUGAAACACCUCUGACCUGUGGGACACACUUGUAUGUGAUGCCAUCAACAGCAACUGAUGAAACACCUCUGACCUGUGGGAG